UGCCCGUUGCCCGGGGACAACCGGUGGAAACGCCGACUAAUCCCCGAUGGGAUACGAUGCUUCAUGGCAUUGUAUUGAAAGUUACGGCGGCGACGGAUUGGCUCGCGUCCGAUUAGCUGGUUGGCGGGGUAACGGCCCACCAAGGCUACGAUCGGUAGGGGUUCUGAGAGGAAGGCCCCCCACAAUGGGACUGAGACACGGCCCAUACUCCUACGGGAGGCAGCAGUGAGGAAUAUUGGUCAAUGGGCGGAAGCCUGAACCAGCCAUGCCGCGUGCGGGAAGGAGGCCCUAUGGGCUGUGAACCGCUUUUGCCUGGGGGCAAUAAGGGCGUCGCGCACGUCCGAUGAGAGUACCAGGCGAAUAAGCAUCGGCUAACUCCGUGCCAGCAGCCGCGGUAAUACGGGGGAUGCGAGCGUUAUCCGGAUUCAUUGGGUUUAAAGGGUGCGUAGGCUGUGCGUCAAGUCGGGGGUGAAAUUCCGGUGCUCAACACCGGGGCUGCCCUUGAUACUGUCGCGCUGGAGUGCGGAUGCCGCCGGAGGAAUGAGUGGUGUAGCGGUGAAAUGCUUAGAUAUCACUCAGAACACCGAUUGCGAAGGCAUCUGGCGAAUCCGUAACUGACGCUGAGGCACGAAAGCGUGGGGAUAGAACAGGAUUAGAUACCCUGGUAUUCCACGCCGUAAACGAUGAUGGCUAACCGCCGGCGACACACUGUCGGUGGCCAAG
rnacentral:rRNA from 1 species